AAAAAUCGGUAAAAAAAAAAUAGAUAAAAAUUAGGUAAAAAAAAAAUCGGUAAAAAAAAAAAUAGAUAAAAAUUAGGUAAAAAUAAAGUUUAAAAGUUUAUUCGUUUAGUUGUACGUGUUAGUCCAUGUUUGUAUGUGUGUGUGUGUUUAUACCCUUACACAGGUGAUAAGUCACAAAAGAGCAGUGAAGACAAAGAGUUCCAAACCGAAAAUGUGUUAAGCGUGGAGGAAAGUAUGACGGCCAAAACCAUGCUUGUUGAAGAUGAUAAAGAUAAUAAGGACGAAAAGGAUAUAACUACCCAUGAAAUUGAUCGAAAAAAAACAGACAUUUUGGAUGUAUUAAAUAAUACUAGUACAACUGCUUCAUCUGAUUAUUUAAAUGAAACGUAUAAAACGUUAGACACACCUAAUUUUUAUCAAUCGGAAAUAUUAUCAAAUGAUAAAUAUACAAAAAAUAUAUUUUUUUUAGAUUCUAAUGAAGAACCGAUUGAUACUAAUGAUCAGCUAAUUGGAGUUCUUGUUUCUUCAAUUAAAAGUGAAUGGAAUAAAAUGUAUUCAGAUCAAUAUCCUUUAAGUUUUUAUUUAAAUUAUUAUAAAACCAAAAAGUUAAGAAAGCUGUUAGAAGAAGUUCCAAAUUUAAUUAUGUCAGGAUAUGGUCGAACUGUGCAAGUUUUUACUUUAGAUGCAGCACAAAAAUAUUAUGACAGUUUGUUGACAAAUAAAACGGACAAUUUGAAGAUUUUGACUAAAUCAAAGUUUACUUCGCUAAGCAGUUCGAUUUUUUUUAAGGAUGUUACAUACAAGGAAAUCGUCGAUGCAUAUAUGAAAGAAGAACCAGUCGAUGUUUUGAGUAUUUUAGAAAUGAGUAAAUUUAAAUUUUCUUCUGGAAGCGGAAUGAAUAAAACCUAUUAUAAUAAGAAUAUGUACAAGCAAAAUAAAAGUGACAAUUUUGUUUAUGUUGACGAUUUUAGGGAUAAUAUGAAUAUAAACAUGUUAGGUGGUAGAGUUAACCAUAUGAAUAGUAGUAACAUAAACGAUGAUAAUAUUUAUAGGUAUGAUACUUUUGAAAACAAAAAUUAUAAUCCUAUGAGAAAUAAUGACAAUAUACAAAUACUAAGGUAUCAUUUACAUAAGUUACUUUAUAAUUUA
rnacentral:lncRNA from 1 species